rnacentral:tRNA from 1 species
GGUUUUAUGGUGUAAUGGGCAGCACAUUGGACUCUGAAUCCACUGAUGCGAGUUCGAGUCUCGCUAAGACCU